AACGAACGCUGGCGGCAGGCCUAACACAUGCAAGUCGAACGAGCUGGGACCUUCGGGUCCCGAUGCUAGUGGCGCACGGGUGAGUAACACGUGGGAAUCUACCCAAUAGUACGGAAUAACUGAGGGAAACUUUGGCUAAUACCGUAUACGCCCUUCGGGGGAAAGAUUUAUCGCUAUUGGAUGAGCCCGCGUCUGAUUAGGUAGUUGGUGAGGUAACGGCUCACCAAGCCGACGAUCAGUAGCUGGUCUGAGAGGAUGAUCAGCCACACUGGGACUGAGACACGGCCCAGACUCCUACGGGAGGCAGCAGUGGGGAAUAUUGGACAAUGGGCGCAAGCCUGAUCCAGCCAUGCCGCGUGAGUGAAGAAGGCCUUCGGGUUGUAAAGCUCUUUCGACGGGGACGAUGAUGACGGUACCCGUAUAAGAAGCCCCGGCUAACUUCGUGCCAGCCGCCGCUGUAA
rnacentral:rRNA from 1 species